rnacentral:lncRNA from 1 species
CCGUAUGCCAAUGGAUCAACCUAGGAUUUAGCUCUCCAUGAGAAUGAAGCAGUCUUUGUUUUCUAUUUUGCGUGAAUCAGCCUUUCUGACCUAGGCUGUGUUUUUCUAUUUAUAUUACAUAGAAAAAUUGGGCUCUUAAAGAAUCGGGCCGAAAAACAAUGUUUAACCCGAUAUUAAUUAUUAUUAUAAGUCUGGAAUAAAAACGUAAAUAAAUGACUCAUUUGCGCUCCGAACUGGCUUCUGACCUCAACAUGAAAGUUGUAGCUCUUUCUCUUAGCUUUGUAACGCAUAUUUUCACACUUCAAUCCAAUUCU